rnacentral:lncRNA from 1 species
CAUUUUAAAACCAAUACAUAAACCAUUAACCAUCUUUAUAUUCAUUCAACAUGGGCCAAUUUCAAUUCAACUAUCAAUGCAUUAAUUCAAUUUCCAUAUAUACAUUAAUAACAUUUCAUUCAUUUCAAAAUCCCAAUUCAUCUUCUAAUACAUUUCCAUAUUAUUCAACCAUCAUAAAGACCACAUUCAUAAUUACAUCAAAAUUAAUUCAUUACAACCAUUGUAAUCUAAGUACAAAAGCAAUCCUAAACCAAAGCAUGACAAGUCCAAAUACCAACCUAAUCCAA